rnacentral:sRNA from 12 species
ACGAGGAGGUCCCCAAAUGAUGCGAAGCAUCAUUUUUGCAUGGGACCGACGAACUGCCCUCGAACAAAGUGAGGGGCAACACCAUAA